UUGUGGUUUAUUUUCCUUCCUCAGCCCUGGUAGGGAGGUGUUUCUAUAAGAAACAUACAUCUCGCUGCCUGUGGCUUUUCUCUAAAAACCCAAUAUUUCAGUUUCAGAAGCUGAACCUGGGAAACACAAUGAAUUGCAGCCAGUGCUGAGCUACCAGCCACCUUUGGAGGGAGUUUGCAGUGGGCAAGGAGGACAAGAACAGAACAUCUAUGAAGACCAACCUCUAAUUUUCCAGGUCCUUUCCCAUGUUGGAUAUCUCUAUUACUGAAUCACUUCUGCUGCUCAAGCACCCAUCACUCUGUUCUAAUAUCUUUGACUGGAGCUGUGUCAUUUGAAGACCUUAAUGUCCCGUGGAAUAAAAGUGAUCUCUGGCAGUAUGUCACUGAUGUGAUUUUGGAUAUCUGAUGGAAGAAACAGCAUGUAUUGCAUAGAAACACCCCAAAAAGACUUGAUGCCUCAUCAAACCUGGCCCAUGAAGUCAGGUUCAGAAGCACCCUUUACCUUUUCUUUCCUAAAUAUAAGCUGAACAUUUGUGACUAGCGUUCCUCGGCAGGAAGGAAGAAAAUCAAGUUUUGCCAUGGAUAUGCAGGGAUGUAUGGGAGAAGGAAAACUGAUAUUCAGUUAUUGAGUGUCUCAUUUUGGCGGAUGUAGGAACAGUUAAGCUGCUGUUGGACCUGGACUGUGUAUCCUUGGAGGUGUUGGUAGCAUUAACUGCAGUCAGUCGUAAGAGAAUAAAAGAUGAAUAGACUGUUGUUAAUCUUUUUACACUUGGAUUAAUUGCAGCAGCUGUAAUCUCCCUGUUGACUUCCAAAUGCUCAGAUCAGGAUGCGAGGCAACUCUUAGCUUGGACAAGUGUUAAACUGCCUGGUGCUUGGGGAAGGUACAAAUGCUGGUGUAGGGAACUGCUCCUGGAGAUGUAGUAACCACUUCUGCUAUGCUCUCCGUCGUAUUUUUCUGAGAAAGUUUGUAGAAAUGGUCAUGCCAAGCUGUACUGCAGAGGGAAGGACAGUAGAAAUCUCCAUCCUUCCCCCUCCCUGAAUUUACACUCAAACUAGUUUUAUUAUUAAAGAUCAAAUAAAUAUCUAGGAGUACAGCUUGGUUAUCCUCAUUCUGUUUUGCCAUUGCAUUCCAGCCCCUGUGCGGCAUGAUUGGAGGCAUGGCCUUCAGUUUAGCUGAAAUGAUAGAAAUGAAGAAGAAAGAGAUGAAGGAGAAGACAUAGGAAAUUAUUACCGUUGGAUAUUGUUUUUUUUGUAGUACAAGAAGCAGAGGGGCACUAGAUAAAAUUAGAAAGCAGUGAGUUUAAAAAAAAAAGAAACAGAAAUAAUGUUUAAGAAAAGUGAUUAAGUUGUGGGACCCUGGCAACUUGAUGUUGCAGAAACUCAAAAUAUAGGUUAAUUCUAAAAAGGGUUAAAGGAUUUAUUGGAGGGUACAUUCACUAGUGUUUCAGCUGGUACUUCCAGCUCUGAAAAGAUGUGUUGUAACCCUGUUAUGAGGAUGGGUGACAAAUUCUUGUAUGCUCGUCUCCACUCAAUGUUUUUUCAAGCAUACUCUACCAGACAAACUGGGCUUGGCAAGCUAUCGGAUUGACCUUCAGUUGGACUUGUACUUUUGCAGAGAGAAGUGUUUGAUAACUAUAUUGUUCUUGUUGUCUUGUGGAGUUGAUGGCUCUAUCUGUGUGGAGUGGAGUCUUUUUUUUUUUUAAUGAUUUAUGAAGUUUGAAAGGCUUUUGAAUCCUUCUGCAGCAUUUGAUACAGGAGGGCUUU